UUUAAGGUCAUCAUGUUCAAAACCCCAUUCCUAUUCGAGACCGACUUGUUCAAAACCCCAGUUAAAUUUGAGAUCAAGCUAGUUUAAAAUCUAAACUUAUUUCAUGGUAAGCCUGUUCAAAACCUCAAUUUUGUUCGAAGGAUAAUUUGUUCAAAAUUACGGUUUGGUUCAAAAUCUCGGAACAAAUAACUUCAAGUUUCUCUUUGGAAGGAAGACUAA
rnacentral:lncRNA from 1 species